rnacentral:rRNA from 1 species
UACGUAGGGCGCAAGCGCUAUCCGGAAUUAUUGGGCGUAAAGCGCACGUAGGCGGCUUUGCAAGUCCCAUGUGAAAUCCCACGGCUCAACCGUGGAAGUGCAUGGGAAACUGCAGAGCUUGAGUACUUAAGAGGAUCGCGGAAUUCCCGGUGUAGAGGUGAAAUUCGUAGAUAUCGGGAGGAACACCAGUGGCGAAGGCGGCGAUCUGGGAAGAUACUGACGCUGAGGUGCGAAAGCGUGGGGAGCAAACAGG